UAUCCAAAAACUCAUGAGAGUGCUCUUCACGACCGAAAGAGCAAGAGAGGAUAAUUCAGGAAGCCAGAAAGAAUGCUCCCUCAGACAAAGGGGCACCAUUGAUUGACCAGGCUGUCCUCGACAGUGGGUUUUUCCUGACGAGACCUGACUGGGACUUUAAUAUGGCAAAAGGAUUAUCUGAAUAGCCAUAUUGCAGCGUCUUCUUUCCCAAGAGUAAUUGUGCCUGCCAACUGCCGUGCCACCUCACCAUUUGGAGAGCAUUGCAGCAUGUUGUGAGCUAGAGGUAAGAAGUUCCCCAAGACUCCAUGUGAGAGCUAGAAACCCAGGAGAGCCAGCUCUGCAAUAGUGAAAGUGUGAAGGCGGGAGAGUCAGGAUUGCCAGUGUCUGAUGGAUGUGAUGGCUAAUCUCACUGCCAGCUCUGUAGGCCCUGAAAUCAUGGAGGAGACACACAGCUGUGCAUGUCUUUGAGGUUUAAGAGGCAGAGGAAUAUCUACCCUCAAUCCAGGCUCCAGUCUGCCACCCAGGUCUCGGUGAGACACUGAUACUUCUGGUCCUGCUGUCAAGAGCUUCCAGCACUUCUGAGACACCAGAUCUUGGGUUCAGACUCCAUCUUAGAGAGCAUAACUUAAGGUUGAACCCAAGUUAACUAACAAGUCAGCACCUAGCACCAGCUUCUAGGCCACCAUUCAACAAGCCAGCAUCUAGAACCAGUUUCCAGGUUACUCCCCAACAAACCUGUACUAGUUUCCAGGUUACAAGCCUGCCCCUGGCACUUUAUUUUCUAACCAACGCCAAUAAGGAAGAAAGCAGAAGUUAUGUUUAUGGUUUGGCUUCUAGCACCAGCCAAUUAUGUUAAAGGACAACAAAAUUCCAUAAUAGCACCUCCCAAUCAGAUGUGUGCUAAUCUAGAAACCCCCUCGCUUGUUUGCCAUUUCCUUUAAAACUUUGUUCUGCUGAGAGCUUGGGGCUCCAUCAGAUAUGGUAGUGUAGCCCAAGCUCAAGCUUGAAUAAAGAGACCCUAGUGAGAUUGCAUUGGAAUCAGCUCCUUGGUGGUCUUUUGGGGUUCAUGGAAUGGGCACAUUCCUUCAUCACAGCUUGAGGUGCUAUGUGAUGGAAUUUUUCCAUUUGUUGCGUUAGUUUCUGGUCCUGAAGUUAACGGCUAGCACUUCAUCACAGUUUGUGAUGCUCAGACAGAGAUCAACAUAUGCUUGUUGAGCAGAUUGUUGAAAAAAAUCCAACUAAUGUCCAGAUUACAAAACCUUGGCAGAAAGAAGAAAGCCUUCAUUCUUUAAAUAAUAUUUGUACUAAUAAUCUGUAGGCCAUUUGGUAUAAGGUGUUCAAAGUAUUUGUUGAAGCAACUGACUGAAAAGAGAAAAAAAAUGAAAAUCAAAAUUCUGUAUCUUGUAUAUUUCCACCAAAGAACCAUUGUUGAUGUAAAAGUUUUUCUCUAUUGCCUUCAGUAAAUUCUUAAUUUGAUUUUGUAAAGAAACUCUGCAUUCAGACUCAUUAACAUCGUGAAAGAAUAAUUUGCAAACCAGUCUUUCCCCAUUCCUUUCAUUUGGCUUUUUAAGGAAGAUAGAUUUUGGGGAGCAUUUCUUUGUAGUGUGAGAGAUGUAGGGUAUAGAUAAGAGCAGGUGGUCUGCACAGGAGCAAAGAGAUGUGGAUGUGAGGGUAUGUGAGAGGGACCCUCAUCACACCCUUCAUUUCCUUAAGUGUGUGUGGCUGCCACCCAACGACAUGUGUUUGGUUUGGUUUACUUCUUGUGUUCUUCUAGGGUCUAUAGUCUACCUCUUUCUUGGUAAUUUUGUGUUUUACUCCACAGGCCGACGGAGAUCUGAUUCUGACUCCUUUUGCUCCUGACUUGUCCUUGAUGGCAUGAGAUCCUUUGGCAUCUCCAUCACACUCUCCAUUUAGCCAGGGCCAAGAAGACUUGCCCUGCAACUGCACUGGGACAGGCCAGUUUCCUCACCUAUGGGUCUUCAUCUCAGCAUCUCAUAGGAACGGGGAGAGAGAGAGGAAGGGAGGGAGAGAGGGAG